GACGUAGGGUCCAAGCGUUGUCCGGAUUUACUGGGCGUAAAGAGCGCGUAGGCGGCUCGUUAAGUGUGAAGUGAAAUCCCCGGGCUCAACCCGGGAACUGCGUCCGAUACUGGAAGGCUUGAAUCCGGGAGAGGGAUGCGGAAUUCCAGGUGUAGCGGUGAAAUGCGUAGAUAUCUGGAGGAACACCGGUGGCGGAGGCGGCAUCCUGGACCGGCAUUGACGCUGAGGCGCGAAAGCCAGGGGAGCAAACGGG
rnacentral:rRNA from 1 species